CGAAGGGUGCUAGCGUUGUUCGGAAUUACUGGGCGUAAAGCGCGCGUAGGCGGCUUUGUAAGUCAGGGGUGAAAUCCCACAGCUCAACUGUGGAACUGCCUUUGAAACUGCAAGGCUUGAGUGUCGGAGGGGAUAGCGGAGUUGCUAAUGUAGAGGUGAAAUUCGUAGAUAUUAGCAGGAACACCGGUGGCGAAGGCGGCUAUCUGGACGACAACUGACGCUGAGGCGCGAAAGCGUGGGGGAUCAAACAGGAUUAGAUACCCUGGUAGUCCACGCUGUAAACGAUGGAUGCUAGCUGUUGGGGGGUUACCCCUCAGUAGCGUAGCUAACGCGUUAAGCAUCCCGCCUGGGGAGUACGGUCGCAAGAUUA
rnacentral:rRNA from 1 species